UACAGAGGUUGCAAGCGUUAAUCGGAUUUACUGGGCGUAAAGCGUGUGUAGGUGGCUUGACAAGUCGGUUGUGAAAUCCCCGGGCUCAACCUGGGAAUUGCUUCCGAGACUGUCAGGCUAGAGAUCGGUAGAGGGCGGUGGAAUUUCCGGUGUAGCGGUGAAAUGCGUAGAUAUCGGAAGGAACACCAAUGGCGAAGGCAGCCGCCUGGGCCUGAUCUGACACUGAGACACGAAAGCGUGG
rnacentral:rRNA from 1 species